AACCAUAGAAACCUGCGGAGUACCUGCGGAAGGAUCAUUACCGAGUUUACAACUCCCAAACCCCUGUGAACAUACCUAUACGUUGCCUCGGCGGAUCAGCCCGCGCCCCGUAAAAAGGGACGGCCCGCCCGAGGACCCCUAAACUCUGUUUUUAGUGGAACUUCUGAGUAAAACAAACAAAUAAAUCAAAACUUUCAACAACGGAUCU
rnacentral:misc_RNA from 1 species